rnacentral:rRNA from 1 species
GAUGAACGCUAGCGGCAGGCUUAAUACAUGCAAGUCGAGGGGGCAACAGGGGUAGCAAUACCUGCUGGCGACCGGCAAACGGGUGCGGAACACGUACAGAACCUUCCUUUAAGCGGGGGAUAGCCCAUAGAAAUGUGGAUUAAUACCCCAUAGUAAUACUGGCUGGCAUCAGUUGGUAUUUAAAGUAUUUAUCACUUAAAGAUGGCUGUGCGUAUGAUUAGUAGUU